rnacentral:rRNA from 1 species
CUCGUAGGCGGUUCGUCGCGUCCGGUGUGAAAGUCCAUCGCUUAACGGUGGAUCCGCGCCGGGUACGGGCGGGCUUGAGUGCGGUAGGGGAGACUGGAAUUCCCGGUGUAACGGUGGAAUGUGUAGAUAUCGGGAAGAACACCAAUGGCGAAGGCAGGUCUCUGGGCCGUCACUGACGCUGAGGAGCGGAAGCGUGGGGAGCGAACA